GGGCCAGGGGAGCCACCGCCCCGGGUCCUCGAGGAAGACGGGAGCGGGACGUGGCGAGAGGCCUCCUCAGACUGGGCAAAAUAGCCCCGACGCGGAGGUCGUGUCCCCGUCACGUUUACUGGCGACCGCAGGCGCAGAUUCCUUGGCUUCCCUCAGCACUUUCCCUUCCGCGCGGACGGCCCCGAGACGCUUUUUCACUGGGCCUUGUCGCCAGCACCCGGCGUGGGGGAUGUGUAGUUGGUGACUGCCUCUCCAGAUGCUGAGGUGCCUGUAUCAUUGGCACAGGCCAGUGCUGAACUGUAGGUGGAGUAGGCUGUGCCUUCUGAAGCGGUAUCUAUUUACAAUGAAGUUGCAGUCUCCCGAAUUCCAGUCACUUUUCACAGAAGGAUUGAAGAGUCUGACAGCCCCCAAUUUUUCAACUUCAAUUGCAAGAAGCCUCUUGGAAGAAGGAGUAGUAAUUAACUCUUGAUGGCUUAACUCAGGUCAUUCUGCAUUUUUUGGAAAUAAGGUUCUAAAUAUUGAUUACUAUAGUUUCUUGCACAUCAUUUUAACAAUUGUGUUUAACUCUCUAAACCUGACA
rnacentral:sRNA from 1 species